rnacentral:misc_RNA from 1 species
GCAAACUUGGUCAUUUAGAGGAAGUAAAAGUCGUAACAAGGUUUCCGUAGGUGAACCUGCGGAAGGAUCAUUAAAAUAUUCGGGUUCCCCGCCGAUAGGGUGAGGGGCAAAUUCCCGAGAACCUCUGACCCGUGCGUCCUCCCCCUUCGGAGGGGUACGCGGUCGGCGUGUUCACUUAUCACCCUCUGUGAAACUCCCACCGUUGCUUCGGCAGCACCGAGCGGGUAACCGCCGGGUAAGGCUGUCAGAAGCCCACAGUAAAACCUGUCGAUGAAAUGUCAUGCUGUCUGAUGCUCUGUUAUUUGAGAAAUCGAAUCAUAUUAAAACUUUCAGCAACGGAUCUCUUGGUUCCCGCAUCGAUGAAGAACGCAGC